CCUACGGGUGGCUGCAGUGGGGAAUAUUGCACAAUGGGGGAAACCCUGAUGCAGCGACGCCGCGUGAGUGAUGACGUACUUCGUUAUGUAAAGCUCUAUCAGCAGGGAAGAAAAUGACGGUACCUGAGUCAGAAGCCCCGGAUAACUACGUGCCAGCAGCCGCGGUAAUACGUCGGGGGCAAGCGUUAUCCGGAUGUACUGGGUGUAAAGGGAGCGCAGGCGGGAAGCCAAGUCAGCUGUGAAAACUACGGGCUUAACUUGUAGACUGCAGUUGAAACUGGUUUUCUUGAGUGAAGUAGAGGUAGGCGGAAUGCCGGGUGUAGCGGUGAAAUGCGUAGAUAUUCGGAGGAACACCGGUGGCGAAGGCGGCCAACGGGGCUUUAACUGACGCUGAGGCUCGAAAGUGUGGGGAUCAAACAGGAUUAGAUACCCGAGUAGUC
rnacentral:rRNA from 1 species